GACGAACGCUGGCGGCGUGCUUAACACAUGCAAGUCGAACGGAAAGGCCCUGCUUUUGUGGGGUGCUCGAUUGGCGAACGGGUGAGUAACACGCGUGUAACCUGCCCUUGACUUUGUGAUAACUUCAGGAAACUGGGGCUAAUACCGGAUAGGAUCUCCUGCUGCAUGGUGUUGGUUGGAAAGUUUCGGCGGUUGUGGAUGGACUCGCUGCUUAUCCGCUUGUUGGUGUGGUAGUGGCUUACCAAGGCUUUGACGGGUAGCCGGCCUGAGAGGGUGACCGGCGACAUUGGGACUGAGAUACGGACCAGAAUCCUACGGGAGGCAGCAGGCGGGAAUAUUGCAGAAUGGGCGGAAGCCUGAUGCAGCAACGCCGCGUGCGGGAUGACGGCCUUCGAGGUGUGAACCGAUUUCGACUGUGACGAAGCGUGAGUGACGGUAAUGGGUAAAGAAGCACCGGCUAACUACGUG
rnacentral:rRNA from 1 species